rnacentral:rRNA from 1 species
CCUACGGGAGGCAGCAGUGGGGAAUAUUGGGCAAUGGGCGCAAGCCUGACCCAGCAACGCCGCGUGAAGGAAGAAGGCUUUCGGGUUGUAAACUUCUUUUCUCAGGGACGAAGAAAGUGACGGUACCUGAGGAAUAAGCCACGGCUAACUACGUGCCAGCAGCCGCGGUAAUACGUAGGUGGCAAGCGUUAUCCGGAUUUAUUGGGUGUAAAGGGCGUGUAGGCGGGAGCGCAAGUCAGAUGUGAAAACUCAGGGCUCAACCCUGAGCCUGUAUUUGAAACUGGGUUUCUUGAGUGCUUGAGAGGCAAUCGGAAUUCCGGGUGUAGCGGUGAAAUGCGUAGAUAUACGGAGGAACACCAGUGGCGAAGGCGGAUUGCUGGACAGUAACUGACGCUGAGGCGCGAAAGCGUGGGGAGCAAACAGGAUUAGAUACCCUUGUAGUC